AGUGAACGCUGGCGGUAGGCCUAACACAUGCAAGUCGAACGGCAGCACAGUAAGAGCUUGCUCUUACGGGUGGCGAGUGGCGGACGGGUGAGGAAUACAUCGGAAUCUACUUUUUCGUGGGGGAUAACGUAGGGAAACUUACGCUAAUACCGCAUACGACCUACGGGUGAAAGCAGGGGAUCUUCGGACCUUGCGCGAUUGAAUGAGCCGAUGUCGGAUUAGCUAGUUGGCGGGGUAAAGGCCCACCAAGGCGACGAUCCGUAGCUGGUCUGAGAGGAUGAUCAGCCACACUGGAACUGAGACACGGUCCAGACUCCUACGGGAGGCAGCAGUGGGUAAUAUUGGACAAUGGGCGCAAGCCUGAUCCAGCCAUACCGCGUGGGUGAAGAAGGCCUUCGGGUUGUAAAGCCCUUUUGUUGGGAAAGAAAAGCAGCAGGUUAAUACCCCGCUGUUCUGACGGUACCCAAAGAAUAAGCACCGGCUAACUUCGUG
rnacentral:rRNA from 1 species